GAGUAAACAGUUGUUGUGGCCACUGUUUGGGCUGCUGAUUUGGGUUCACGGAAAGCCAACCCAACAACGCACGUCUUUGCUUCAAAUCCCUCACUUCACUAGCUUGUAGUCUAGCCUGUCUAGGGUUUUGUUGUUCUACGCCGCUAUAAAGCCGUUCUCUUAGCAAGCUUGGAAUCCACCUCCCAUAGUCAAAUUUUGAUAGCGGCGAUCAAUAUCAGCGAUUAAAGGAUGAAUAGAAAAUAACUUACGAUUUUCCGAGAUGUUCCAUGCGGAGAAAGUUUUGAAGACCUGUAACUGAAGGGGCAUUACUAAAAAUAUUUUUCCCUCUCUGAACUUUUCAUGUUUUCCUCCGUUAUAGGUUUUUCAAUGUUUAUACUUCUAUGUGGAAGAUUUUGAAACUUGGUGUAUAUGCAAAAAGUGGCUAAUAAAAUCACUUGUUGUGUAGUAUUUAAGCAAUCAAUAUCAGCGAUUAAAGAAUAUGUAUUGCCUUUGAGGAUGAAUAGAAAAUAAAUUUUGUUCUUCCGAGAGGCAUUA